rnacentral:rRNA from 1 species
CGAUGACUUUUGUGCUUGCACAGAAUGAUUAGUGGCGCACGGGUGAGUAACACGUGAGUAACCUGCCCCUGACUCUGGGAUAAGCCUGGGAAACUGGGUCUAAUACCGGAUAUGCACCGUGGACCGCAUGGUUUUUGGUGGAAAGAUUUUUUGGUCAGGGAUGGACUCGCGGCCUAUCAGCUUGUUGGUGAGGUAAUGGCUCACCAAGGCGACGACGGGUAGCCGGCCUGAGAGGGUGACCGGCCACACUGGGACUGAGACACGGCCCAGACUCCUACGGGAGGCAGCAGUGGGGAAUAUUGCACAAUGGGCGAAAGCCUGAUGCAGCGACGCCGCGUGAGGGAUGACGGCCUUCGGGUUGUAAACCUCUUUCAGUAGGGAAGAAGCGAAAGUGACGGUACCUGCAGAAGAAGCGCCGGCUAACUACGUGCCAGCAGCCGCGGUAAUACGUAGGGCGCAAGCGUUAUCCGGAAUUAUUGGGCGUAAAGAGCUCGUAGGCGGUUUGUCGCGUCUAUCGUGAAAGUCCGAGGCUCAACCUCGGAUCUGCGGUGGGUACGG